rnacentral:rRNA from 1 species
UACGAAGGGGGCUAGCGUUGUUCGGAAUUACUGGGCGUAAAGCGCACGUAGGCGGCUUUGUAAGUUAGAGGUGAAAGCCCGGGGCUCAACCCCCGGAAUUGCCUUUAAGACUGCAUCGCUAGAAUUGUGGAGAGGUAAGUGGAAUUCCGAGUGUAGAGGUGAAAUUCGUAGAUAUUCGGAAGAACACCAGUGGCGAAGGCGGCUCACUAGCCCGGUACUGACGCUGAGGUGCGAAAGCGUGGGGAGCAAACAGG